GAUGAACGCUGGCGGCGUGCCUAAUACAUGCAAGUCGAGCGAACAGACGAGGAGCUUGCUCCUCUGACGUUAGCGGCGGACGGGUGAGUAACACGUGGAUAACCUACCUAUAAGACUGGGAUAACUUCGGGAAACCGGAGCUAAUACCGGAUAAUAUAUUGAACCGCAUGGUUCAAUAGUGAAAGACGGUUUUGCUGUCACUUAUAGAUGGAUCCGCGCUGCAUUAGCUAGUUGGUAAGGUAACGGCUUACCAAGGCAACGAUGCGUAGCCGACCUGCGAGGGUGAUCGGCCACACUGGAACUGAGACACGGUCCAGACUCCUACGGGAGGCAGCAGUAGGGAAUCUUCCGCAAUGGGCGAAAGCCUGACGGAGCAACGCCGCGUGAGUGAUGAAGGUCUUCGGAUCGUAAAACUCUGUUAUUAGGGAAGAACAAAUGUGUAAGUAACUAUGCACGUCUUGACGGUAACUAAUCAGAAAGCCACGGCUAACUACGUG
rnacentral:rRNA from 1 species